GACGAACGCUGGCGGCGCGCUUAACACAUGCAAGUCGAGCAGCGGCGGACGGGGGAGUAAUACGUGAGUAACCUGCCCUCCUUUUUGGGGUAAGCCUUGGAAACGGGGUCUAAUACCGGCUCAAGGGGGAUGGGCUCGCGGCCUAUCAGCUUGUUGGUGGGGUGAUGUCCUACCAAGGCGGGGACGGGUAGCCGGGCUGAGAGGGUGAACGGGGACAUUGAGACUGAGAUGCGGCCGAGAGUAGGACGCGAGGGAGAAGUGGGGAAUAUGGCAGAAGGGGCGAAAGAGUGAUGCCGCGAGGCUGCGUGGGGGAUGAAGGCUGUAAGGUUGUAUACCUCUGGCGCAAUCGAACGGGUAGGUGGAGAAGAAGCGCCGGCUAACUACGUGCCAGCCGCCGCGGUAAUAC
rnacentral:rRNA from 1 species